GGGCCUGUAGCUCAGUUGGUUAGAGCAACGGCCUCUUAAGCCGUGCGCCGUGGGUUCGAAUCCCACCAGGCCCUCCA
rnacentral:tRNA from 1 species